CUUGUCCCUGGAAGCCUUGCAGGUGUGGCUGCUGUGUCAUGUGUGCAUCCGUGACAGGGGGGAGAGAGGCCAUGUCUCUGCUCAGAGUUCUGAUCUAGGAACAUCUGAAACCUAAUAUCCUGUAGA